UGAGAAAUACUCGAAGUCUCAGUAACAGUGUCUUUGUGUUCUAGCGGCCACCUGUGGAGAGAGAGAGAACGAGAGUGAAUCAUUGAAGAGCAAACUGUGAACGUGAUACCUACCCAGAAAGCUGUAAACAGCAGAGCCGGUGAGAAAUACUCGAAGUCUCAGUAACAGUGUCUUUGGGUCCUAGCGGCCACCUGUGGAGAGAGAACAGGACGAGAGUGAAUCAUUGAAGAGCAAACUGUGAACGUGAUACCUACCCAGAGAGCUGUAAGCAGCAGAACCGUGACUAUCUGUGGGGCACAAGGCGAACGUGGGCGGACGUACGACAGGGAACGUAAAGGCACGUGGGGCGAGGACCCCCUGCCGACCCGAGGAAAGAUACACCGACAGUGGAGAUCCUCCUUACCAGUCACACCAAAAUUAUUCUGCCUCCAGGACGGAAGAAGGAGGGCGCCACGGUUAGCAGGGUCCAGGCCGGAGCCUGACGUUUCCCUUUUCUCCCCCGGCUUGUGGUGGUUGGCACCCCUGUUGCCCUUGGCCUGUCUGCCCGUGGCUGCAGUCUCCCUGGAGGGAGACGAAGAGACCUAUUAGUUUUAAAUUCCCCUUUCCCCCAAAUUCCCAGUUCUUUUAGAUAUUUAAACUAAAUAAAGCUUGUUUUAAAUUUUA